rnacentral:lncRNA from 1 species
AUGACGUAAAAUGAAGACUUGCCCGGCGUUUUCUCCUGAGAAUACGAGGAAUAAAUAUAGCCCUAGUUACUUGCUGAUAAUAUAGCUUUCCAAUAGUAAAAGAAUUUUUAAUACUUACCUACUUAUCUAAAAUAGUGAUUCUUUAGCUGGCAACAUUAAGCAAACACUGAAGGUGGAGUGAGUUUGUUUUGGGAGAUUUGGAGACAGUGCGGCUGCGUGGUCGGGAAAUCGGAAAGCCGUUUCAGAAUUGGAGUAAUGCCUGUGAAAUUUGCUUCCCUGGGUUGCCAGCGCCCGGAGGCUGGUCCCAGCGGCUCUAAUGACUAUGGUAUCCCAGGAUGUGGGACAGGUCCCAGCUAUACUCAAAUGAUAACCCCUGAAGGUCCUUGCAAGGAUAUAGGCGGCAUGAAUGGGGCUCGUGGGAAUACCUCGUGUUGCAUCUACUGCCUCUGUGGAAGCUGUUGUGGUGUGGGACUACGGCUGAAUACGCUACUUAAUUAGUCUUAAUUCAAAUAUAGAUUGACUCUUUACUAUAGAAGUUCAGGUAGGACGAUGCCUCAUUAUUGUGUUCAUCAUAAACAUCAUUAGCAGCCGAUGGACGUCCACUGCUGGACAUGGGCCUUUUGCACGGACUUUCUAACACUACGGUCUCGAGCCGACAGGCAUCACCGCGCUUUCCGAUGCAUGGUCGUCAUUCCAGCACCUUGGGACACCAACAUCAGCUGCUUGUACGUCUUGGCCAAGAAGAGCUUGCAACAAACUCUAUAGUUUAUUUAUCAAUCACUAUUUUACAAUGUUAUUUAUUGCUUUAGUACCAAAUAUGCAUUUUGAUUCCAAGCAGGCCGCUGCGGCGCUGGUUUCAAUACAAAGAAUUGGAAUUUGCAGCUCGUGCUCCUCCAUGCGCUAUUUAUACAGGAUAUUAUUAGAAAUCAUCGUAUCAUAAUAUCUGUCGCCAACUUCGUGGCAAUCUUUUUGUCUGGCAAAUCAAGGGCUAAUCUGAUAAAGAUAAACCUAGUAGAUACAAGAAUAAAAAGCAAGAAAUAGUGACCUGAACAUAUUUUUAUUAACACCCAAUAACAUACACUGUUAUAAACUGUUAAGACUGCAACAUUGUCGCAUUUACCACGCGAGUCCUCUACCAGCCACGCCAAGGCCUCCCAAGGCCUCAACCUUACGAGUCCCAGAGAGAAAGACGGAGACUACCUCGACGUCUUCGGAUUGCCGGCGACUCUAGGAGCGAAACUCGACUAAGCACUAUCGACCCUUCAAAAACCUCGCGAAUCAACUCUUGAGCUUAUUCGAACAUAGCAACCGCUUUCUCUAGCGGUAUUUCACUAGAUAGUUCCUCAGUUUCAACUGUGCGAGAAACUAGAGUCCAGUUCGCUAGACUUUACGAACGUAGCAACUCCACCGCAUUCUCCGGAAAAUUCUCACUGGAGAGAUUUGCUCCGUUCCACUAGCGAGGAAGGUUCAACUCGUUUACUCGAGAACGCAGCAACUCCACUUACAUAGGUCCUCUGAAGAAGACCAAAGAGAUUUGCUCCGUUCAACUCUAGCGAGGAAAAGUCCACUGCAUUCAACUCCUGAGCAUUACUCUGUAACAGCAACUCUAUCUCCAGUAGUUUCACUGAAUAGAUUUGCUCUCUUCAGAGUCCAGUGCAUUCAACUCUUGAGGAGUACUCUAUAACGCAGCAACUACACUGCCAUCUCCUGAAGAGAACUUGCUCCAGUCAACUCUUGCGAAGAAUAGAGUCCACAGCAUUCAGCUCUUGAGGAGCAUUCUCUCGAACGCAGUAACUUCACCGCCAUUUCCAGCGGCUCACUGACGAGAACUAGCUUUGAUCGACUCUAGCGAGGCAUAGAGUCCGCUUCGAACUCGUUUGAGGAGCAUUACUCUCGAACGCAGCACUUCACUGCCAUCAACGGUUCUCUUGCUCCGUUCUUAACUCUUGCGAGGAGUAAUUCUGCUCUGCACAAAGCGAUCAGAUCACUCUGCUUCUCCCAAAUACGCGUGGUAGCACGUUAAGCCAUAGUUUUCCUCGACACAAGCUUGGGCUGUAACUAGGUACGCAGCAUUGCUUCUUGGUAACUAAGCGUGGCUGUGUUCCGGCGCUUAACAGCAGCCAUACCAGCAACAAGAUCCACAGCAAGGUGAACAGUAGGAAUAGCAAGGCCCACUGCAGCUGUAGGUGUUGCAAGGACUGCAGCACGGAUAGCAAGGCAUUGUUUAACUUGGUCUUGUCUUCUUCGGCAAAAUGAGUCUUCAAUGCGAGGUUUGUGGUUUGUUGAUUUUUUUAAAUUUUUUUUUGUUCUGCUUCUGUUUGGUGUUGAAGGUUUGAAGUUUGGGACUUGAUUGAUGCAGAAAUGCAAAAUUUUUCUGAUGUUGAUUGAAGAAUGAACUCUUCUGGAACGCGAUUUGAAAUUUGAAUUUUGUUUUUCUUUUUUGGGUGGUUUAUCGAAAUAGGUGAGGUUAAAUUACUGUUCUGUAACAUUAAUCCUCUUCGGGUAUUCUUUAAAUUAAAAAAAAUAACGACGAGAAAUAAAACGUAAGGAAUAAGGAUAAAAAAAAACAUGAAUAGUUUCUAGUUUCUAUUCCUAGUAAAGGAAAACGUAAACUAUCCAUCGUCCUCUUACUCAAGGCCACAUACUUUUCAUUCAUAGAUUUAAGAGUUAAUAAUUACGGGUAACUUUGACAAGAAAGUUUCUAAGUUAUAAUAUAAAUACUAGCGGACCCGCUCAAGCUUCGCUUUGACUUAUUAAUUUAUUUAUUUGCACUUCUUC